UUAAAUUGAAGAGUUUGAUCAUGGCUCAGAUUGAACGCUGGCGGCAGGCCUAACACAUGCAAGUCGAACGGUAACAGGAAGCAGCUUGCUGCUUCGCUGACGAGUGGCGGACGGGUGAGUAAUGUCUGGGAAACUGCCUGAUGGAGGGGGAUAACUACU
rnacentral:rRNA from 3 species